UACGUAGGGUGCAAGCGUUGUCCGGAAUUAUUGGGCGUAAAGAGCUCGUAGGCGGUUCGUCGCGUCGGCUGUGAAAACCCGGAGCUCAACUCCGGGCCUGCAGUCGAUACGGGCGGACUCGAGUUCGGCAGGGGAGACUGGAAUUCCUGGUGUAGCGGUGAAAUGCGCAGAUAUCAGGAGGAACACCGGUGGCGAAGGCGGAUCUCUGGGCCGAUACUGACGCUGAGGAGCGAAAGCGUGGGGAGCAAACAGG
rnacentral:rRNA from 1 species